rnacentral:rRNA from 1 species
AGGACGAACGCUGGCGGCGUGCUUAACACAUGCAAGUGGAGCGACGAACCGGGGCUUGCCCCGGGGCAGAGCCGCGAACGGGUGAGUAACACGUGGGUUACCUGCCUCGAUGACCGGGACAACCCGAGGAAACUCGGGCUAAUACCGGAUGUGCCCGCAAGGGGAAAGGAAGCUUCGGCCUCCGCAUCGAGAUGGGCCCGCGGCCCAUUAGCUUGUUGGUGAGGUAACGGCUCACCAAGGCUUCGAUGGGUAGCUGGUCUGAGAGGACGAUCAGCCACACUGGGACUGAGACACGGCCCAGACUCCUACGGGAGGCAGCAGUGGGGAAUCUUGCGCAAUGCGCGAAAGCGUGACGCAGCAACGCCGCGUGGGGGAAGAAGGCCUUCGGGUUGUAAAGCUCUUUUGUCAGGGACGAUAAUGACGGUACCUGAAGAAUAAGCCCCGGCAAACUUCGUGCCAGCAGCCGC